CAGGGUAUUUGGAAAGGAAAUUAGUAGCAAACUGUUGCUCUCCCAAAGUCUACGGCCGCUUCGCUCCCAGGGAAUUUACCUGGAUCUCGAUGUCUCUAGGACCUGCGGCUUUCUCUGUGCAAUUGAUAUGUCAACCAACCACACCCCAGGAGCACCAGCCACCUCGAGGUUCUCCCUCCUACAGUUUGCGUGGGUAGGCUGCACACUGCGCCUGCGCACGGGUCUUGGGGGCGGAGCCGCGUCUUCCCGCUAGAAGAGGUCCACGUGGCUGGAGCCAGGGAGGCUGGGGAAGGGCCAGAGCCUGGGAGCCAAACUGACCUCACCAAGGUAAGAAAAGGAGGGCGGAGGCAGCGGACAUAACUCGGGACGUUCCCUGGGGCACAAUCGCCCCCAGUUUAUUAACCGGGGGCGGCCGAACCUAUGGAGGCGGGGCCUCAGAUUCUUUCUUCCCCGCCUCCGUACGGGGUCUGCUGUUCCACUCGAAGCGGGGCGCGCAUGCGCAGGGGCUAGCUACCAGAUUUGCAGGGUAGGGGGCUCAAGGUUCGCAAAUGCUCCGGAGGCUGGAAGGUGGCUUCUUUUGCCUGGGAAAGGAAGCUUGGCUGGAGGUUGGGGCUUUCCUCUCCCUUUCCGGGCCCACCUACCUCACAAAGUGAGGCACGCAUGCAAGAGAGCCUGUACAGCAAAAGACAUGCUGGCAACAGUGCCAGGGGUUGUUGGGAGGGAGAGCCGUGUGCCAUGGUGGAUAAGACUUUCCAUGAUUUAGGAUUCUCCUUGGCAACUGGAAUAGCAGAGUAUGUGGUCCUAACUGCCUUGCUGGAAAACCCAUGAUUUUGGCUUGAUCUCUUGCCAAAUGGCUCUUCCUGUGGGUACACCUUGGAUAUCCUACUUUGACAGACUGGCUCUUCUCCCUCUCCUUCAUGUAGCUUCAGCAUCUGCUAAAUCAAACAAUCUACUUCCAAGAGGUCUGCAAUUGGUGGAAGUGCCUGCAGAGAUCAAGGAAUCCAGUGCUUUGGGCUAAUCCUUCCAUGAGUAACCUUGACUUUUGCUUUAGUGGGAAAGACUAAGAAUAAGUAUUUAUCCUACACUUGAUCUUAGCCAAAAGGCCAAGAAGUGAUAGAAUAAGUGCUUAUCAAAGCACCUUCACAUCUACUAUGUGCCAGGCAUUAUGCUAAACACGAGAGAGAGACAGAGAGAUACAGACAGACAGACAGACAGAGACAGAGAGACAGAGACAGGGAGAGAGAGAGAGAGAGAGAGAGUGAGAGUGAGAGAGAGAGAGAGAGAGAGAAGCUAAAGAAAGCACUUGCCCUCAAGUUUACUUUCUUUUGGGGAGACCCCCUAUAGAGAACAGUUAAUAAUCAACAAAGGGAAAGCAUUAGAAUGAAGAGGAGCUGGAGAAGCCUUCCUGGAGCCAAGGUAGAAUUUUACUGAAGCCUGAAGGAAGCCAGAGAAGCCAUAAUUAAGAGUUUUAGCAUUGGUUCUGGGGGUGGUGAAAGAAGCACUAAGGAGGGAGUGGGAAGGCCAAAUGGCCAUUCCUUGGAACACAGGAACCUAUUUGGAAAUAGACUGAGUCCCAUUGAAGCCAAGAGACUGAGAAUACUGACACAGGCCCUCACUUUGGUAAGAACCACCAGAUGUGAAUGUACUGUGUGGAUGGACAAAUUGUGGGGAACUUGGGAGAUAAUAAAUCCCUCCAAAAAAAGACA
rnacentral:lncRNA from 1 species